GUUCUUGUAGUUGAAGUACAACGGUGAUUUUUCAUGUCAUUAGUCAUGGUUAGACUCCAUGCGAGAAUA
rnacentral:tRNA from 1 species